ensembl:miRNA
GUAUUAGUUUGGUGCAAAAGUAAUUGCAGUUUUUGCCAUUACUUUUAAUGAAAAACUGCAAUUACUUUUGCUCCAAUCUAAUAAUUA